rnacentral:rRNA from 1 species
AUUGAACGCUAGCGGGAUGCUUUACACAUGCAAGUAGAACGAGUGGCGGUCGGGUGAGUAAUAUAUCGGAACGUGCACAGUAGCGGGGGAUAACUACUCGAAAGAGUGGAUAAUACCGCAUACUAUUGGAGCGGCCGAUAUCGGAUGAGCUGGUGGGUGGGGUAAAGGCUCACCAAGGAAACGAACCGUAGCUGGUGUGAGAGGAAGACCAGCCACACUGGGACUGAGACACGGCCCAGACUCCUACGGGAGGCAGCAGUGGGGAAUUUUGGACAAUGGGGGAAACCCUGAUCCAGCCAUCCCGCGUGUAUGAGAAGGCCUUCGUGUUGUAAAGUACUUUUGGCAGAGAAGCGGUAUCGGCAGAAUAAGCACCGGCUAACUACGUGCCAGCAGCCGCGGUAAUAC